AUACGAAGGGUGAGAGCGUUGUUCGGAUUUAUUGGGCGUAAAGCGCGCGCAGGCGGAUGAUCAAGUCAGAUGUGAAAUCUCGGGGCUCAACUCCGAAACAGCGUCUGAAACUAAUCAUCUAGAGUCUUGGCAGGGGAGGGGGAAUUUCACAUGUAGGGGUAAAAUCCGUAGAGAUGUGAAGGAACACCAGAGGCGAAGGCGCCCUCCUGGACAAGUACUGACGCUGAGGCGCGAAAGCGUGGGGAGCAAACAGGAUUAGAUACCCUGGUAGUCCACGCCGUAAACGAUGAGCACUAGGUAUUGCGGGUCUUGACCCCCGCAGUGCCGUAGCAAACGCAUUAAGUGCUCCGCCUGGGGAGUACGGUCGCAAGAUUAAA
rnacentral:rRNA from 1 species